GGGCGGUUAGCUCAGCUGGUUAGAGCACCUCGUUUACACCGAGGGGGUCUGGGGUUCGAAUCCCUAACCGCCCACCA
rnacentral:tRNA from 1 species